rnacentral:rRNA from 1 species
CCUACGGGCGGCUGCAGUGAGGAAUAUUGGUCAAUGGCCGGAAGGCUGAACCAGCCAAGCCGCGUGAAGGACGAAGGUGCCAAGCAUUGUAAACUUCUUUUGUCAAGGGACAAAAUCAGGCUCGAGAGCCUGACCGAGGGUACUUGAAGACAAAGCAUCGGCUAACGCCGUGCCAGCAGCCGCGGUAAUACGGAGGAAGCGCGCGUUAUUCGGUUUUAUUGGGUGAAAGGGGUACGUAGGCGGACUGUUAAGUCAGCGGUAAAAGCCCGGGGCUCCACCCCGGCGAGCCGUUGAAACUGGCUGUCUUGAGAUGUCGAGAGGUAUGCGGAAUGCGCAGUGUAGCGGUGAAAUGCUUAGAUAUUGCGCAGAACUCCGAUUGCGAAGGCAGCAUACCGGCGGCGAUCUGACGCUGAGGCACGAAAGCGUGGGUAUCGAACAGGAUUAGAUACCCGAGUAGUC